CAGUAUUCUAACGACAACUGGGGGCACGAAAGCGUUCCGGAGUCUGGCGUUCCCGAUUCUAAUGAGCAAGAGGAGGUUGUGUCUAGUAUACAAG